CGGUGAGGACAAGGUUCCUGCCGGUGAGGAGAAGGUUCCUGUCGCUGAGGACAAGGUUCCUGGCGGUGAGGACAAGGUUCCUGGCGGUGUGGACAAGGUUUCUGUCAGUGAGGACAAGGUUCCUGGCGGUGUGGACAAGGUUCCUGGCAGUGGGGACAAGGUUCCUGCCGGUGAGGACAAGGUUCCUGCCGGUGAGGACAAGGUUCCUGGCGGUGAGGACAAGGUUCCUGGCGGUGAGGACAAGGUUCCUUCCGGUGAGGACAAGGUUCCUGGCGGUGUGGACAAGGUUUCUGUCAGUGAGGACAAGGUUCCUGGCGGUGAGGACAAGGUUCCUGGCGGUGAGGACAAGGUUUCUCGCGUUGAGGACAAGGUUCCUGCCGGUGAGGACAAGGUUCCUGGCGGUGUGGACAAGGUU
rnacentral:lncRNA from 1 species